UGCAAGUCGAACGGUAACAGGUCUUCGGACGCUGACGAGUGGCGAACGGGUGAGUAAUACAUCGGAACGUGCCCAGUCGUGGGGGAUAACUACUCGAAAGAGUAGCUAAUACCGCAUACGAUCUGAGGAUGAAAACGGGGGACCUUCGGGCCUCGCGCGAUUGGAGCGGCCGAUGGCAGAUUAGGUAGUUGGUGGGAUAAAAGCUUACCAAGCCGACGAUCUGUAGCUGGUCUGAGAGGACGACCAGCCACACUGGGACUGAGACACGGCCCAGACUCCUACGGGAGGCAGCAGUGGGGAAUUUUGGACAAUGGGCGAAAGCCUGAUCCAGCAAUGCCGCGUGCAGGAUGAAGGCCUUCGGGUUGUAAACUGCUUUUGUACGGAACGAAAAAGCUUCUCCUAAUACGAGAGGCCCAUGACGGUACCGUAAGAAUAAGCACCGGCUAACUACGUGCCAGCAGCCGCGGUAAUACGUAGGGUGCGAGCGUUAAUCGGAAUUACUGGGCGUAAAGCGUGCGCAGGCGGUUAUGUAAGACAGAUGUGAAAUCCCCGGGCUCAACCUGGGAACUGCAUUUGUGACUGCAUGGCUAGAGUACGGUAGAGGGGGAUGGAAUACC
rnacentral:rRNA from 1 species